AAUUAGGGGUCGUUUAAAAAUUGGUCCCUGUAUUCGCUAAUCAUUGCAAACUAACCUUGCAAUCAUUAAUCAUUUAAAAUUUCAUCAUUUGACCAACUUAAUCACCGCCACGUCACUUAUUUGAUGACGUCGCAAUCACUGCCACACAUGAAAUUCCAAUUUUGCCCUUAAGAAGAGGACAAAAUAUUGAAGAAAGAAUUGGAACCCAGGGGUAAAAUUGGAAUUUUAUGUGGCGUGGCAGUGAUUAAGUGGGGAGAGAGACGAAAUUUUAAAUGAUUAAACAAUGCAAGGGUAAAUUACCAGGAUUAGCGAUUACAGGGACCAAUUUUUAAACGACCCCUAAUUG
rnacentral:pre_miRNA from 1 species